CUAUCAUUUUCGUAUAAUUUUUUCAGAGAAACAUUCAACCAUUUUUCCGUACUAUAUACCCGCUAUAUUGCCACACCCGUAAACAUAAGGGGCAAUUUAUCCGGAUAUGGGCUAAGGUGCGUAGCGUCUAGUAAGUCAUGGUUUAAUGUCAACGCUUAACUUUGUCCGGCUAUUGAAACUGCUAAACUUGAGUUAGAUAGAGGCGAGUGGAAUUCCAUGUGUAGCGGUAAAAUGCGUAAAUAUAUGGAGGAACACCAGAGGCGUAGCGGCUCGCUGGGUCUUAACUGACGCUGAGGCACGAAAGCGUGGGGAGCAAACAGGAUUAGAUACCCUGGUAGUCCACCCGUAAACGAUGAGUACUAAGUGUCGGGUUAAACCGGUACUGAAGUUAACACAUUAAGUACUCCGCCUGAGUAGUACGUACGCAAGUAUGAAACUUAAAGGAAUUGACGGGACUCCGCACAAGCGGUGGAUCAUGUUGUUUAAUUCGAAGAUACCCGAAAAACCUUACCAGGUCUUGACAUGUUUUUGCAAAAUGAUAGUAAUAUCGUGGAGGUUACCAGAAACACAGGUGGUGCAUGGUUGUCGUCAGCUCGUGUCGUGAGAUGUUAGGUUAAGUCCUAAAACGAGCGAAACCCUUAUCGUUAGUUGCCAGCACGUUAUGGUGGGGACUUUAACGAGAUGCCCAUAGUAAAAUGGUGGACCGGUCGAGGAUCACGUC
rnacentral:rRNA from 1 species